UGUGUGGUGUGUUGAUAAAGGCUGGGAAAACAAGGGGAAACCCUUGUUCAUCAUAAAAUCACCAAAUCGAAGGAAGAUUCGAGUCUCAAAUUCGUGCAUGAACAUAAAUUCGUGAUCAUCUAAGCUUGGAAAUCAUGAGGUGAUAGCUAGGACCUUAUGGAUGACGAUCAAGCAUUGUGGUUAAACCGAAAACACAACCGAAGUUCAAGCUUCCGCUUAGUUUCGUUAUUUUACGAACUGAAUCAAUUAUGAACUUUAUAAAGGUCACAUUGAAUUCAAUCAGAUACGUCGAAAUGUGAUGGUUAACGCAUCACAUAACAUUUGGACUAAUCCAUUCAACAUUUACGAUAUACCGGUACCACAACAUGCGCGGGUCUUAUUGCUAGUUGUAUAAAAUAAUGUAACAUCCCAUUUCAGGAUUUACAUUAGACUGGAAAAUGGGAGUUGUAGUUUAGGACCAAGAUGUAAAGGACCAAACUAUAAGGAUUAAUUGUGUAAUUUAACCACUUUGGUUAUA
rnacentral:lncRNA from 1 species